rnacentral:rRNA from 1 species
CAGCCGCCGCGGGAAUACGAGGGGGGCAAGCGUUGUUCGGAUUUAUUGGGCGUAAAGGGUGCGUAGGCGGUUUGGCAAGUCUUAUGUGAAAUCUAUGGGCUCAACCCAUAGCCUGCAUGAGAAACUACCGGGCUUGAGUGAUGGAGAGGUGAGUGGAAUUUCCGGUGUAGCGGUGAAAUGCGUAGAUAUCGGAAGGAACACCUGUGGCGAAAGCGGCUCACUGGACAUUAACUGACGCUGAUGCACGAAAGCUAGGGGAGCAAACAGGAUUAGAUACCCCGUAGUCCCUGUCUCUUAUACA